rnacentral:lncRNA from 1 species
GCCGGAUGCGGAUCUGAGAAGAGACGAUUUUAGCAUGCUCGCUGCCUAGCUGUACACCUCUCCUUCCUAAUAUCAAAGACGGUCAGACUCAAUUCAUCCUAAAGUUCCUUUGAGGAACUCCUUAAAAGGAGACGGAAAGCGGAAAGCAACCGCCUGUAACCAAGUGUAGACAUCAGUCAAUCAAAGUUCGCUGAACUGAGAGCAAGUGCCUCCCCUCCUGUUGAUCAGAAGAGAGAUCCGUGGAUCACACAGAAUCUAUCUGGAGCCAUCCUGAAUGAUUAAUGCUGAACCCUUUCCAGGAAGAUGGAACCAGGCUUAGGAAAGAGACAAGUGACCCUUAGGUUAAUAAUCCUAGCUUCAUAAAGAGAGGACCAAACAUAGUAGCAGGAGAAAUAUGCUUUCUGCCUUUAUAUAAAGCAGAUUAGCUGUCUUCUGGAAAAUAUCAUUGCUUUCCUUAGAGAGGUACCCUUGAGUCUCAGGUAACAGCUGAGCUUCCGCUCAGAAUUGAGGGCAUUCUGUCCUCUAUUAACUGAGCCAGUACCCCUUUCCUUCCUUAGAAACCUCUAUUGCCACCAGUCCCAACACUCCCUGCAAUGGUCUUUAUGUUUGUGUCUCCCCAAAAUUUAUAUAUUGAAACCCUAAUCCCAAUGCGAUGGUAUUUAGGGUGGGAUCUCUGGGAGGUCAUUAGGUCAUGGAGUUUAGAAUACUCAUAAAUGGGAUUGGUGGCCUCAUAAGGAGAGACGGAAGAGCUAGCUAGCUCUUUUUCCACGAUAUGAGGAUACAAGAAAACAGCCAUCUGCAAUCCCAAGGAAGACCCUCAUCUUCAGAGGCAGACCAUGCUGGCAAUCUGAUCUUGGACUUCCAUUCUCUAGAACUGUGAGAAAUAAUAUUUGUUGUUUAAGCCACCCGGUCUACGGUAAUUUGUUAUAGCAACCUGAACUAAAACAUUUCCUUUUUAUAACAAAUAUUUUAAAGCUCUUUUUAUUUUUCUGAAACAUAAUUCGUAAAGAAUGUAACUUACCCCCACGCACAAUUUUAAACCAAAAUUUAAAGACAAAAAGUAGAGACAGGGUUUUGCUAUGUUGCCCAGGCUCUCUACCUCCAGGGCUCAAAUAGUCCUCCUACCUUGGCCUCCCAAAGUGCUUGGAUUACAGGCAUAAGCCACCAUGCCUGGCCAAAAAAUUAGUAAAAUCUCUUAAAGAGAUAUAAAGGAGUCUACGGCCAUACCACCCCGAACGCGCCCGAUCUCCUCUGAUCUUGGAAGCUGAGCAGGGUUGGGCUUGGUUAGUACUUGGAUGGGAGAUAAAAGGAAUACUAGAAAGAAUAUGACUUAUAAUUAAAUACUAUAUGUUUAGAUAUGUAAAUGUUUGUGUAUAACAUUCAAGAAGACACAAUGUGGUACUCAGAUAUAUGCAUCUGUAUAUAAAAUCACCUGGAAUGUAACAGCUACAAAUGCAGAAUGAUACAGGCAUUAUAAUGGCGAUUCAAAUACCAUGAACAGAAUUACUGAUGUGGUAUGAUUUUCCAGAAUACUAAAUAGCUUUUGGCAGAUUUUCAAACAAAACAAGGUAUGAUCAUCCCAUGAUUUUCAUGGUAGUUGCAUCCCUGGAAAGUUCAGUGUGUAUUAAAACUACGCAUAAAAUGCCUUGUGUUUAUAUUUAAAAUUAAAUUAUGGUCAG